rnacentral:rRNA from 1 species
UACGUAGGGCGCAAGCGUUGUCCGGAAUUAUUGGGCGUAAAGAGCUCGUAGGCGGUUUGUCGCGUCUGCUGUGAAAACCUAAGGCUCAACCUUGGGCUUGCAGUGGGUACGGGCAGACUAGAGUGCGGUAGGGGUGACUGGAAUUCCUGGUGUAGCGGUGGAAUGCGCAGAUAUCAGGAGGAACACCGAUGGCGAAGGCAGGUCACUGGGCCGCAAACUGACGCUGGAGGAGCGGAAA